rnacentral:rRNA from 1 species
GACGAACGCUGGCGGCGUGCUUAACACAUGCAAGUCGAACGAAGUGGCGCACGGGUGAGUAACGCGUAAUCAACCUGCCCUUCAGAGGGGGACAACAGUUGGAAACGACUGCUAAUACCUCAUACUGAAGGAGGGGAUUGCGUCUGAUUAGCUAGUUGGAGGGGUAACGGCCCACCAAGGCGAUGAUGAGUAGGCGGUCUGAGAGGAUGAACGGACACAGUGGGACGGAGACACGGACCAGACUCCUACGGGAGGCAGCAGUGGGGAAUCUUACGAAAUGGACGAAAGUCUGACGGAGCAACGCCGCGUGAGUGAUGACGGCCUUCGGGUUGUAAAGCUCUGUUAAUCGGGACGCGGUACCGGAAUAGAAAGCCACGGCUAACUACGUGCCAGCCGCCGCGGUAAUAC